ACGCUCGACACCUACGGGAGCAGCAGUGGGGAAUAUUGCACAAUGGGGGAAACCCUGAUGCAGCGACGCCGCGUGAGCGAAGAAGUAUCUCGGUAUGUAAAGCUCUAUCAGCAGGGAAGAAAAUGACGGUACCUGACUAAGAAGCCCCGGCUAACUACGUGUCAGCAGCCGCGGUAAUCUGAGCGGGCUGGCAAGGC
rnacentral:rRNA from 1 species